UGUGUGUGUGUGUGUGUGAGAGAGACAGGGAACGUCCAACUACUUCUCCUUCAACAUGUUCCAGUUCACUGGGAGCUCUGCUGAUGUCUACCUGCACUGCAGACUCAACCUGUGUGUCACACAGAACAACACCUGCGCCCCGACCUGCAGCGCUGCUGGUUCUCGGAGACGCAGAUCUGCCAGGUCCACCUACGUGGCUGAAGCCCCAGCCUUCAUCACCAUGGCCUGGACUAAUUAGGUGUGUUUCCACGGUGACCCGGACUGACUGACCUGCACAAUGAUUCUGGACUGUUGCUUGGUCCUGAUCCAGAGGCCGGUGUGUGAAUCUUUCACAGCGACGUCUCCUGAAAGGAUUCGCUCAGUUCUCACUGCAGAUUUUCUGCAGCUAGAAAACUUUCUUCUUCUUCUUCUUCUUCUUCUUCUUUCCUCAAACAUGAAAGUAUCCAAACGAUGUGGUGAAGGGAAGUGUGUGUGAGUAAACUAAUAUGAUGAAUUACUAAUGAUUCCAAUGAUCAGGUGUUACAUGCUGAGCAGUCUGUGGGGAACAGCUUCCAUCUUGAAGACUCUUGUUAGCAAAGAGGCAGCCAUGUGCACAGUCGAGCUUUAAAGUCCUUUAUGUUGUUUUCCUGGUUCUUUCUGUAACACCGGAUCACUUCACUUUGACAAGCUUUGCCACAAUCAUUCCAUUAUUUACAGAUUCCAGCUCAGUCAGAACUGUGUUUCAAAGGUCCGAUCUGUGCAGCUUCACUGUACCAACAACCGGAACAAGACCGGAUCUUUAUGAUGAAUCUUUAUGAUGAAUCUUUAUGAUGAAUCUUUCUGAAUCUUUCUGAAUCUUUCAAGCAAAUGAAAAUACAAAAAAGAAUAAAAAGGGUUUGUGGGAAAAAAA